AAGUGUUCACUUAUGGUACUUGAAGAGAGGCUGGCCGUGAUGAAUUCGAUUCAUCAAAGCGAGUCAUACACGGCUCUCCUCUCUUUUAGUGUCAAAUUCUGCCUCGGAGGGCUUCCCGGGCCAGUGCUGCUUCCAAGGUAGGUGCCUGGAUGGCUGAGCCCACGUGUGCUUUCCUGAGGAUGCCUGCUUUACUGACGCUAAACCCUGCUCACCCUGAGGCAAUUUCCUGGGGUGCUGUCAACUUUAGGACAAGCAAGCGAGGCUGCAGGAAUGCCCUAAUUUAAAAUAUUAUUUAUAUAUAUAUUACAAUACACAUGGCUAACCUAGAAGGGGCGCCUAGAAGCAUCUUUCAUGACUCAGCUCUCAGAAUAGAGGUGAGACCAGGAGACUGUGUGGCCCCUGGUUUACUAAUCCUCUGUAGCCUCACACCCUCCAGGGACCUCCUCUAGGGUGAGGCCAGGUUUACCAAGGAGGCAGUGGUUUCCCUGUCCUUGCAAACGCGUGGCUUCCCUGGCGAUGUCUCGCGUGCGGCUGACCUCUGCACUGCUGCGUGUUGCUUGCAUGGCCAUCCAAGUGCGGGAAGUGGCAUUGCUGUCCACUGGAAUCCUGGGUUGGUGAACCAGGGGCAUGGAUUUGACCUGGGGACUGACCCAGUUGGUCCGCUCAUCCUCAUCCUCAGCGUCCUGUCUGCCCCAGUGGCCACCCUCAAGCUGCCCAGGCCGUGUGGAUGUGGGAAGGCCACCAGCGGCACUGCCUCACGGUACUUGGAGGGAGGUUGUCCGUGGUGAGUUCGCAUUAGUUAAUGAUGCCCAAUACACGGUCGAUCUCUUUUCGGUAUCACAUUGCACCGGGCAUCUACUCAGAGCUGAUGGGGACUCCAGGGAAGACGCACUCUUGUGGGUUCCACGCCAGUAUACUUCAACGUGCAGUUGGCCCUGGAACUACCAGACUGGUGCCGCCAGCAUCCCUAUCAUUCAGUCAGUUCAUGGAUGACCAUGUGACUUAGGUUUAAGACCCAAGUGAUUGGGGCAAUAGGGAUGUCCAUGAUGCUUCUGGGGAUUCCGGGUUUUCUAAAAGAAAAACAAACCAAAACCCAGUGGAUAGUUCCCUCCUGUUUUAGUAUUAUAUCUUGUCCCAGAGAGGAGGGCCUCUGAGCCAUGUUGGCAAAGUCACGGCGGGGGAACCAGUAUUAGUAUAUUUUCUGGGCUAAGAAGGGACGAAUCAUCGUAUCUGUUGACCUGGAAGUCCUACCAAAUUUGAGGGCAGAGGGCAGUGCUAGUUUCAAUUUCUUGUUUUUCAUUUAAGAAUGAUGAAUUAUUUUACAUUGUUACCAUACAUAUAAAAAAGGGUUGCAAAGAAUUGGACAUAAAAAUGACACAUACUUAACAGUAAAAAUUCAAGCAGUGUGGGAAAAUAUAAGUAAAAAGGGGAGAUAAUAGCCAAUCUCUGCAACUCAGAAGUAACCAUCAGGGCUUUAGAAAUUUCUAAAUACUUACCCGAGCAUAUAUCCAAAUAGAAAGAUAGACAAAGUGAGACACAAAUGUUUUACCAAUAUGUAAUUUUUGUUAAAAUGUUAACUGUAGUUUUACUAAAGUUUUUUGUUAAAAACGUUAACCACCAUUUUAACACAAAGAAUAUGCUUAAGAAAACUAGAUGAAUUAAUAAAUAUUUCUUGCUCUUCUGAAAGAAGUACUAAUUCCUAAAAGAUCCCUAUAAGAUUAAGAAAAAUCAUUGUGUAAAACAUGAAAUAGUUGGGAUCAUUACAUAUUUUUUAACUGUUUUAAUUUCACUCGAGGUUCUGAAAGAUGAGGAAAUCAGCUCCACCUCCUGCUUUUUUUAAAGCUAUACUGUACAAUAUAAUUUUCUCAUUAUAAGUAUUUGUAUUGUGUUCUAUAAUCACAAUUCUUAUAGAUGUUAAAUCUAUAGUUCUAUAUUUAAAUGGAUUCAUUGCUGAUAAUUAGUGUUUUCCCCCCUUAAACUAAACCUUCUUUCUUCCUAAGUUUUAAUUCCUAUCUCAGAAUAAUUGCUUUUAAUUUUAAUUCAUAUCAGAAUAACUGUUUCAUCAAGAAUGGCUCAUUAACACUGCUCAGUCCUUGCACGUCUGGGGAUACCUGCCUCUUGUUUAUAUACACAAGGGACAACUUAGCUAGGCAUAAAAUUCUUAGUCUACUUUUUUUCCCCUCGGAACUUUGUAGAUGCUGCUCCAUUGUCUUCUGCAUUUAGUAUCAUCAUUUAAGCUUUUAAACUAUGAAUUCUCUACACUCCUCUUGCUUGGCUAGAUACACAUCCUGUGGGCCUUCACAUACUUUGUUAGGAAGGCUUUGGGUCACUGUCUUCUGUGAGGUCUUCAUCUCUGAGGAAGUCUGACCAUGACUGUUCCAUUUGUACUCAUCUGCUUGUUUUUUCAUGCUCUUCCAUGCUUUUCAGUUCUUUUUACACUUAGACAUUCUGACAGUACUUCCAGUUCAUUUUUCUCAGGUUUAAGGGUGUAAGUGCUAGUCUUUGGUGAGUUGGUUAACUCAUAAUAAUACUUUCCUUCACGGGUUCUGUAACUUUUUUCUAUGAGGUUAUCAUCAGGGGGAUUAAUGUUUGUGUGGUUUGUUGUUCCCUUGACAACACUAUGGUUCUACAUUUGGGUUUGUGUGGCAUCAGGCUUUCAACAGUCAGGACUCAUUUGUUGGCCUAAGGAGUCCCAUACCUUAUAUCUGGUAUAAAUCCUCACCAGAUCUUGGUCCAUGAGCUUGGCUUCUCACAGGGGAGCACAUUCUACCCACAACUUGCAUGGAAAUAAACUCUCUUGUCAUCUCUCUAGGCCAGGAGAGCAUUUUCUGACUCUCUUUCCCAUCCCAGCCCUCCACCUCUUUCCAUCCCUAUGUCACAUGGCCUGUUCCUGCUUGGACAUUAAGACUAAAGACCCGCUAAGCCUCUAGUGCAGCAUCCUUUAGAUCCCUUGGUCCAGAUUUCUCUCUUCAUUGACAGCAGGUUUCCCUUUUAUUCUUUACAGCUGUGCAUUUAUCAAUUGAUUUUGGCCUUGAUUUCAUUUUAUCCAUCAUUUCUUUUUGUGUGUGGAGGAGAGGGUUCUCUAUUGGCUCUUUUGCAGGAUCUGACUCAGUCACUCUCUUUCUUCAUCAGUUUUUCUGAAUCGUAUCCCUUCUUGAUGAGUCAAGUUAGCUCCUUUUUCAUUUCAAGGAUGUCUUCUUCUAGUAUUUCUAGAAGUACUUUUCUGUUCCGUGUGUUGGUCUUGUCUUAGGUUAAAUGGUCAUUUAUUAUUUCAUUGGCGGCUGGAGAAGGGAAACUAUGAUCUGGCCCCUUGUCUUAGGUUAAAUGGUCAUUUAUUAUUUCAUUGGCGGCUGGAGAAGGAAAAACCUAUGAUCUGGUCCCAUGCUGCCACUUUCAUUUGGAAGACUCAUUAUUGCCAUUUGCACUCUGCAUUUGUCUGCUUAACAUGAAUUACACCCAGAUUCCCCCUUCUCAGUAUCCUCUUCCACCUUGGCAGGAUGCCUCAUUGUAGCGCCACCUUCCCGGAUGUACAUGGAGUCAGUACCAUUUGCUAGGUAUGUGAAUUGAUUUUAACAGUGGAGGAUUUUUUUCAUCAUAUUCCUGCUGGUCUAGAAACCCUAAGUAUGCAUUUUAUCCUUAGGGAGACUUCUUGGAAGUAACCCACCUUUAGAGAUGAGGUCGCCACUCUGAGGGCAGUGCCAUACACCUUGGUAUAUAAUAAGGUUUGUGUCCCAUGGUGUCGGUUUCUUUAUGAGCAGUAUUGCAAGCUCGGCUUCUUUGGAAUGAACUCCAGCUUUGGAGGGCUUCCUGGACACGAGGCGUGAGUCAGAAAAGGGCCACUGCUGCCAGCCUGGAUGCAAAUGUGAAAUGAGGCUGUGUUCCGUGCCAGGAUAAAUAAUGCAUUCUUAUCCCUUGAUCUCUCCACCAUGCAAUACCCUUGAAACUGCUUCUUAGAUAUCCUGUCAAACAGGCAAAGGUGUUGACGUCUGGGCUACUUCAGGGUCUAGGAUGGGACAGUUGAAUGAACUCGGGGGUGUUUCACUCAUGACCCUUUCUACCAGUUUGUUAACACUCAGUAUUCCUUCUGUCCUUAGGACUUUCUGGAGGAGGCCAGCUUUGAAGAUGAGACCCUGGCACCUGGUUAGUGCUAAUCUGCGGGACUUGAAAAUAGGUUAUCCGUGUAGCCUUCGCUUUACUUGUGACGAAUCAUACACGGUUCACCUAUUUUUUAGUACCAAAUCCCGCCUUGGAGAGCUUCCUGGGGGCGAGCCCCUACCCUCCUUCAGGGCGCAGGACCUUGGAGUCAGCGCCUCUCCAUGGUAAGUGCAGGGACUGUUGAUCACAGCUGGAUGGCAGCACAUGCGGUCUCCUGGUCCUCAUCCUGUGUGUGUGUGAGACUAUCCACAGGAAGAUGCCUGGAAGUGGUGCCAACGUGAAGCAAGAAGUGGGGCUUUUCUUACCAGAGAUACUUGGUGGUACUUGAAGAGAGGUCUUCCAUGGUGCAUUCGCUUUAUUCUUUGACGAAUCAUACAUGGUUGACCUUUUUUUAGGUAUCAAAUCUGGCCCUAAAGCACCUGGAAACUAGAGUCAAUGUCCUCACACCUGGAUGGAUGGUUGAGCUGAGUGUGUGCAUGUUGCCCCACGUAUGUGUCACCUGUGUUCGCUCACUCCCGUGUGUCAUCCACCUCGGGGUACUGCUGGUCCACAAUGCCGACUUCCCCAAAGAAGCAGUACUUCCACUGCAGAUCCACUUCCUGUCUGACAGGAAGUCAUCCCCAUGCCGCUCUCUUUGUGUACAACAUGAUGCUUUGCUCCUCUCGGUUGCAGUGUGUCCUUCCUGGAUGGCUCCCCAGAAGGGGUGCUAAUUCCAAGGAAGGGGCAGGAGGGUCCAUGCCUGUUUCCUUGACAGUGUGUUGCCAGCAUCUUCACUGUUGGUAUCCCAUCCAUCCUUGGGCCCGAUGUCCAGGACACGCCGGAAGCCAGCAUCCGAGUCGGGUACUCGAAUGGAGGUUGUCCAUGGUGUGUUCAUUUUAUUUAUGAUGAGUAUUACAUGGCCAAUCUCCUUUCAGUACUAAAUUCUUCUUGGGAAGACAUCACAAGGGAAAGUUUCAGCAAAUGCCUCUCCAGGGUAAGGAAGCCAACCAUUUACCCAUAAUGAGUGCUUGAUGUGUGGCCCAUGCCACUCUGCCCAGAAUUCCCAGGAAUGAUGCUGACUUUGUAGGUGAGACCUUGGUUGUCCUCCCUUCCUUGAAGACUCACUGGUGAAUAAAACAUCUUUGAUAAGCCUCUUUUUAGGUAUGAGGUCACCUUGGAUAUGACGCACCUUGUAGGGAAAGGGCCUUCUGCAUUAUCCCAAGAGGCUGAAUGAGUAGAGAGCGCAUACUUUAUUUAUGCAAUGUGUUACUACCCCUAACGUAUCUUUAUCCUCAGGGUGACCUCUGGAAAUCAAAGCCAGCAAUGGGGAGAUGGUGGUGUGUUUGUGGGGGUUGGAUGGGUUUCCUCCACAGGGAGAAUCAACGGAAUCUGAAGAUACGUUUCCAUGGCUUGAUUCAUGUAUUCCUUGCGCAAGAUAAGAAUCAGUAACACAUUUACUAAUACCUUAUGUUUGCUACCUACGUGAUCUUGAGGUUACUUGAUGUGUCACUGUUCUGUGCCUCAGUUUAUUCAUCUGUAAAAUGGAGUUAAUGCCCACUCAUAGGGUAGGUAAAAAACUCAAUCAUGUGCAAAGGGGUGUAGACAGUGUCUGGCACAUAGUCAAGCUGAAAAAGAACUGGUUCUUGUGACGAUCACCUACAUUAUGAUAUUGUUAUUACACCUUAGAUCUGCCUUUCUUGUCCCCUCACCCACUAGACUGUGCUUCCUGGAGGCAGAGUCUUUGCUUACCUACUGCUGUGUCCCCAGCUACAUGCAGUGAAGGCGGUGUUGGGUGAAUGAAUCAAAGGCAGGUGACAUAUUUUCUCCACGAAAUGCCCUCCUGGAGGCCUCCUGGGCAGAAGAGUGAAAGAAGGACAAUGUUGCAGCUCAGGGACCCCUCGGAGGAGAUGCUGGCCUUGGUAGGACCUUCCUGUCUGCGCCUCUCCAGGAACAACCCCCAGCUCGGAGUAUUUGCAGAAGCUAUGCUACCCACAGGAGGUGGCCAGCAGCCAGAGCCCUCUCCCGGGUAGGUGCAGGGGUGCGGCCCCAGGACAUGCCCCGGAGGUACUGAUGAUGUAUGUCAUCUGGCCCGCUAGCCAUCAAUGUCCAGACGGUCCCCAUGAGCCCUUCCGGGAGGCGGUGCCAGCCCUGGGAAAGUCUCAGAAGCGCAGGUCAGUAUCCGUGACUCCUGAAGGGCACCUGCCCGUAAUAUGUUUUCUCUCUUUAGGACAGACCUUGGGUGGCUGGCCUCUUGCUCCAACCGUAGCAAGACCCAUGGGGUUUUCUGAAAUUGUGCCAACGUCAGGGAAAGGAUUCUGCUGUCGGUCCCACUCCAAAGUUCGAAAAAUGGGUGGUGGGCACAGAAUCCGGCCUCUGCUUGUGGCAUACAUCGUCUGCUCCCCAACCCUCAGGGGCCAGCCCAUGACUGGGAGGCGGAUUCCGAGCAUAUUCAACUCUGGGAAAGGCUGCAGUUCUGAUGACAGUUGCCUUGUUUUGAAGAGCAGUCAUCUGUGGUUCAUCUGCUUGUUUCUGUUCUCUCUUUCUCCCCUUUGUCUUUGGUGUUUCACUUGAUUUGUGUAUGAGGCUAAUCAAAGGGUCACCUGGUUUCUCCAUUUUAAGUCACCACUGAAGGAGGCUGGGGUGGCACUCCCCCCACCCCCCGCGUGGGCCAGAGGCAGUGUUGGUGGGAGCUCGGAGAGCGCAGCUGUGGGUGUCAGGGUCAGGCACACGCACAGCACCUCACUGAGCUCCUUCCAAAGGCAACAUCUUCCAAGGGGAGCCCCUGUGCCGGGGGUUGGGGGUGGGUGCCCGGAGUCACCCUCUCUGGGUUCUGGGGCUGGAGAGUUGGCCCCACAGGGUUUCGUCUCUGUUAACUCCGGUCAGGGUCCGCUCCACCUGCAGACUGCCCAAGGGUGGGAUGGCUGGGGGAAAGAAGCAUUCUCAGAUAUCCAUGGAUGCUCGUGGGCAGCCUCUGGGGCACUGUACCCAAGUGUGGGCACCUCUCUGCAGGAUAAGAUCCCACCUGGGUCUCUCGCUUACCUUCCAGGGAGGCAUUGGGAGGGUUGGCCUUAGACUCGGGAGGGUUCCCGCCGAGGGUGAUGUCCGCAGCAUUCAAGCUGCCCCAGAGUGGGGAGGGUCGUCUGGAAGCUCAGCCAUCUUGAAGCAUCCGCCUUAGUCCACGCGUCCGAGCCUCUCCAUGGUACGCGGGGAGAGGUUACCCGAGCAACUUUGCAUCUGGACGACGAAUGUUGCUCGGUGAACCCCUUUUCGGUAUCAAAAUCCAUCAGAGAGGCCAUCUGGGAGGCACCUCGGGGAAGAACGUCAGUACCGGCAACCGCUCUGGGGUACAGGACAGAUGGUCGACCAGUUGGAAAGUAAUUGUUUCUAAUGUACUUCACCUGGUCCACUAGCCGUCCGUACCCACUGCAGCCUGCAGGGCCCACGGGCCGGGGCAAGUCACUGGCUCCUCAGCUCAGCAUCUCUCCUGGUACCUGAAGGGAGAUCGACCGUGUUAUAUUCGCUUUAUUGACUUCGAAUAAUACAUGGUUGAUCUUUUCUCAGUAUCAAAUCUCACCUUGGAGGAACGCUUGUUGACGAAGCCCAUACUGGGGGUGAGGAUGGGGUGGGGUCUUCCUGUGUCACUGCCUGGGCAGGGUGCCCAGAUGGAGGCCAGGUUCUUGAGGGGAGGGGGGCGGUGCCUGGCUGUGUCCUUUCCCUGCCUCCUCUCACCUGUGGCAUCUGAUCCACCCUCAGGACGGCUCCUGGGAAGCCCGCAUCCUUGGUGCACACCUGCUGUCUGUGGAGUAGGCCCCACUUUGGGUACUUGAGGAGAGGUUGUCUGUGAUGAGUUCGCUUUAUUAAUGACGAAUAUAACACAGAUGGCCUGUUUUCAGUACCACCCACCCCUCGUGCGCAGGGCCAGGCCUGAAGCCCGCCCCAUCCAGGGUAUGUGAAUGCAUGGGCUCCACAUUCAUCCUGCAAGAGUUUCCUGGAGGGCAGGCUGACUUUGGGAGGAGGCGGGGCUUGCCCGGGGAGGCUGAUCAUGAAGCAUUUGCUUGGUGUGUGAUGAACGGCUCGGAUUCAGUCUUUUGUCCACGCCCAAUGCCACUGAAUCACAGGGAGGUCCCUGCAGGGGCCCCCCCAAACUGGCCCACACCCGUCACUCUGCAAGGCCUCCCGCCUGGGGCGGACCCUGUGUAUGGCCUGCGCCUGAGCAUGUGUCCCGGCCGCUUCCCCUCGCAUCCCAAUGCCCUGAGACGCAGAGGGACGACCCCCUUGGAAGAGAGCCCCAGGGCCGGCCUGUCUGCCUGCCAUGCGUGCUGCUCCACUUGAUGCUUGAGGAGAGGCUGCCCGUGGCCCGUUCGCAUUCUUCAUGACGCACAAUACACGGUCGGCCUCUCUUCGGUAUCAAAUCCCGCCUUGCAUGCCUCCCGCACACUCACCAGUGUAUGGUGUCCUCGAGGCCCAAGCACGUGCUGACUCAUCUGU